UUUUUUUUUUUUUCUUUUUAAGGCCAAACCUGCGGCACAUAGAAAUAUCCAGGCUAGGGGUCGAAUUGGAGCUGCAUCUGUGACCUGUACCACAGCUUACAGCAACGCUGGACCCACUGAGUGAGGCCAGAGAUCAAAACCGUGUCCUCAUGGAUACUAGUCGGGGUUGUUACCACCUAGCAACAAUGGAAACUCCUAAAUACUAUCUUUGAGGUACAGCAAUAUUAAAAUUGUGCAAGGAAACAGUAUCCCUAGCAUUUAAACCAUAAAACCAAUACCUGGUUUAUAUAUGACAAAAAUCAAACAAAAGCAUGUAAAACAAUGUGAGGUUUAUAGAAUUCAAAGAAAAUCAGGGUGACUCAAAGGUGAAAGAAAGGCAGUUAGGGACAGAAGAACUUCUGUAAAGCAGAACCCUCCAAAGCAUGUCUACUGCAAGCUUACAUGAAACCAGGAGGCUUUGAACUCGGAAAGAUGCUGACAGGAUGAAUAAAGUGUGCUAUCUCUAAAAGGCAGCAAAUUAACUGGCCCUCUGGUAAAAUUUCCAUACUAUAAACUGAGAUAGUUUUCAAUAAAGAAUGUAAAGUAGUCGUCCCUGACUACUCAUUAUAAAAUUGCAACCAUCACCACCAAAGAAGACAUUUCUGGUCCGUUUUUGCUUAGCACAAUUGAAGCAACAUGCGAUAUAGGGUAGCUGCAGGAAAACAGCUUCCUUUGCCUGAUUGGGUCACAGUCUUAUUCCCAGGGCCUGACCCAGAGCAGAAGCUCAAAUGAAUGAGUGAACAGGGAUUUAUUUUUCUCCUGGAACAAGAAAUAUGGAGGCAAGCGGUCCCCAGGUGGGUUCAACAGCUCAUGGUGUAUUUGGGGGCCAGGCUCUUUCCAGCCUUUCACUCUGCCGAGACCAGCCAUGCUGGGAUGUCCCUUCCCACGGUCUCAAAAUGGCCAAGGUUGCUCCCACCACCUUGUCCUUCCCCAGCAACCGGCCAGAACAGAAGCUCUCCUCUGCAUGUCAGGCUGAUUUUNNNNNNNNNNNNNNNNAUACUGGUCAGGGUUAGACACUCAUCUGUAAAACAGUUCUUGGCAAACAAUUCUCAGGACUGCUUUAGGACAGCUGUCAGGAUACCUCUCCUGGAAACAUACCACGCAGAGCUGGAUAAAAGAGUUCUGCUGGUCAGGACUGACCCGCAGCAGGUUUCCACAAGAGACAGGCACAACUCCCCAUGGAGCACCAUCUCCAGCUCUUAAAACCCCAAAGCCAGGGGAACAGGGGAUAUGCUGUGAUCCUCACCAGACAACAAAGGCAACCGUAUAGCAGCCCUGUUCUGUCCCUUGGAUGCAGCCACACCACCAUAUCCCCACCCUGAUCCUCCUCGCUGCCAUCCGAACCUCUCACACAAUCAGAGCAGUACGCCCCUCACGGCUUCAUCUCCCCAGAGCUGUUUCUACAGAAGAGAGCCCCCUUUUCACUUCCCUAUUUCUCCCUAGACCCAAGAAAAGGAGUUUUGGGCUCAAGGACUUAUUUUUGUUUAAAUUUUUUUGGCUGUGCCUGCGACAUGUGCAAGUUUCUGGGUCAGGGAUCAAACCCGAACUACAGCAGUGACCCAAUGCCGGAUCCUUAAUCCACUGAGCCACCAGGAAACUCUGGGCUCAAGGAUUUAAAAUUCCUAAGGAAAGCAGAUCUGGUGUCUUGUUUUUAUUUUUUAGAAGAAAACAGAAUUAAAAUUUAAAAACUUUAUUUUUUGAAUAGGUAAUACAUGUACAUGGUACAAAAUUCAAAAGGUACAAAAGGUAUACAGUGAAAGGUAAUCCCCACCCCUCUUUCCAGAGGCAACCAAGGCUUUCAGGUUCCUAUGAGGGGGUCCUCCUGGAGGUCCUCCAUCUGUACGCACACAUGUGUAUACAUAGAGCCAGAGACAUUUUCUUCCAUCCCCUUCCUUUUUUAGAAACAAAUACUAGUAAAGUCAAGAGCCUCUUUUUCUCUACUUAACCAUGCAUCUUAAGGGAUCAUUCCACAACAGAACAUACAGUGUGGCUUACUCUUCCAUUGUACGGAUUCACCAUAAUUUAACCAUUUAUUGCCCUAUGUUGGUGAUAGUUUCCAAACUUUUGCUAUUACAAAUAAUGCUGCAAUGAAAGUACUUGUCUGUAGGAAACAUUCUUAGAAGCAGCAUUGCUGGUAUGAAAGUUUUGUGCAUUGGCACUUUUGAUAGAUAAUCUCAUAGAUAUUGUCUGACUGCAACUCCCCCCCCUCACCCCGCCCCGGGUCCCAUGGAGCUGUACAGUUCAUACUUCUGCCAACACUGUAUCCAGGGGCUGCUUCCCACUUCUUGGUUCCAUGUGGCUCAGUCAUUUCCACCAGCCAUGGUUACCUUUGUGCAUGGCUUACUUUAAGCCACAACAUAGUCAUGAGCAACUCACUGACAUUCAUGUGCUCCCUCUCUCCCCCAACUCCCUCCUACAUGGGGAGGAAAAACAUCUAUAAAAUGUAAUUCCUUUGUAAGGUUUGAAACCUCUGACACCUUUCUCAUCCCAACCAUCAAGGCUGUGAGUGUGGCCAGCACUCUAAGAGACAUCCUCGAAAGCUGCUGAAUAAAACUGCCUCCCGUUCUCAAGCUGAGAAUAUGUUAGAUGAAAUGUUCCAUCUACACUUUGCUAAUUUGGGAGGCACAGUUACAAUCUGGAGGAGCUAUUUUAUCCAGCCAGGACGCCCUCAUGAUCCAUCCUAGCCAGAUGCUGAGGAGACCACGGUGAGCAAUUCAGGCAAGGUCCCUGCUUUUGCUGCCCUUAUGCCCUGGAGUGGAGGGCAGGCAACAGAUGCUGCAAAGGACUAAGAGAAUCAAAUGCGUGCCAUUAAGACAGAGCUGGGGGGGUGGGGCGGGGAAGGGCAGCCUGUGGUCAGCGUUACAAGAUGACACUGAUGGGUCUGUAUGAGGAUCAGAGGGUCCGGCAAAGCCCUUGCCAGGAUCUUGGAGGGAGAGCAGCCCAGGCAGAGACAAGGACAGGUGUGAACUCAACACUUCUGAGGAAUUGAAGUCCCCAUGUCAUCAAAUAGGCCACAGACCAGCUAUUCAAUACCCCCUCAUGUUUUUACACAUUUACUGUGAGAAGAGAGGAGAUCAUGAUAACAGGAUUUUCAGCCUCUCACUGUGUGCUGUAAGAGGGAAUGGCCUGGGCUGGGAACCUGGGGAUCUCUGGGCCUCCACCCGGCCACUUGGACAGACAGUGGGUCCUCAUCUCACAGGGCUUGUUACUGUCCGGCUCUAAGUGAGUCAUGCUUUUCCCUUGAGUAGCCCCAACACUGGCCACGAGUGAGUCAUGAAGCACUUCCUAGGACCUGCUCUGUCCUUCCUCAGAGUGGGUUCUAGGCCAACUAACUGCAUCCCAGGCUCAAAGUAACUGCUAACACUUGUUCAUACUGCCAUCAGUCACCUUCAGAGAGGGCACAAUGAGGCCAGCCAUGCCAAGGUGACUGAGAUUGGGCUGGCACAGGCCUGCGGGCCAUGGCUGACGGCCGAGUGCCCUCUCAGGCAGGGCUGCUUUGGUCCUUACAGAGGUGAUCAGGGCCACCAACGUGACAGCCCAAGCUCUCAGGAGGGCACCUCAUGAGGUGGAAAGAGGCUUGCCUGAGCACCCCUGCUGCCAAUUCCCGGUCUCAGGAGGUCUGGGAGCUGUGUAUUUAUGAGGGAGCAGCUCCUUAGCCUGGGAAAGGCCUCCUGUCCACCAGGCCUUCUGCCUUCUGGCUCCACUGCAGGCCCAGUGGACACUGGCAGGACCCGCUCUCCACAGAACGUGGGCAGCGAGCCAGCACCCAGUUAAAACCCACCCACUGCAGAUGCUAAUGAGAGCUUAGAGGGCGGUGCCCUCUCUGUUAAAAAGGGAGACAGCCCCCCACGUAGCCUCGCAGUUGUUUUCUGCACCUCCCCUGAGGGUGACCAGCUGAGCCCAGUGACCCAUGAGCUGGACGCAGGCCCAGGACAGCAAGAAAUAUGUACCAAGUGUCUCCCCCGACAGCUCAUGGUCGUUUAGUUCCGCUCAUGGCAGCUCUGAUUUUUGUUUAAACCAAAGCAGGUCUGUGUAUUUCCUCAGGUGCAUGUGGGGCGGAAGGGAGCCCUGACCCAGAGGCUCCCCGAGAAUCCCAGAGCCCCGGUCCAUCAGCAAGCUCACUGCUCUGAUCCAGCGGAGACCACGGACCGCUCUUUCCUCCUGAAGCACACAUUUCAGAAACCCAACUGCAUGUUCCGCCCCAGAGGAGCUUGUGGAAUUAGCAGAAAAACACCCAGUCACACAAUGUGGGUACACAGGAUGCAGCCCUGAAAUGACCGGGGCCUUUGGGGCAUCUCCUCAUUUCAUGUCCUCAUCAUUCACAAAGGCACCAUCUACCCUGUAGGUUUAUCUGUGGCAAACGGAACUCAAGACUGGCAUCCGCGGUUUAAUUCAAAAUGUGUUCAAAGAAUGGAAACUAAUGUAUUAGCUUAGGCCUUGUGGAUUCAAGAAAGGGAAAAGGUAUCUACUGAUACCUCCCUCUACUAAAAGCAAACCAAAUGAAACUCCUUAGAAACAGCCCAAAGUAAAUGCCCCCACUCUAACCCUGACGUCACCCUUUCCUCCUCCCCACCACCUGGGAACAACACAUGGAUAAUCUAACUGCUCAAGUUGGUAGUUUGGGAGUGAGUCUAUGAACUUGUUGACAAGAAAACCUAGAUGUUCCCCUGAACCUAAAACACUUCAAGGUCAAACGUUAUCUCCUUCCUCUGACUCGCAGAGCAACAUCUGCUCUUUGGCAAUAGCUUGCUUAACCUCACUGUGCCCUGUCCAAAUCCAUAAACAGCCAUGGCCCAGGACCCCACCCAAGUGCAGUUGUGCAAGACCCAGCACCAGUGCCCACAGCCACCCCCUCACCAGAAGGGCCUCGCCAGGUGGGCACAGAAGCCGAGGGCUGUUGUUAAUCCAGGCAGAGAUUCUCUAAACUACACGUUGGCCCUGCUUAAUACACACAAGAGAGAACUAAAAAUGAACAUGAUGCCCCUGUGACUGCACUGAAUGCCCUAUUUACAUGUUUAAGCAUUUAAGUUUUAUGGUCCAAAUUGGCCGAUGCUAUGUGUGCAAGCCUGGUGCUGGGCUCACUGACUUGCACUGGCCAAUGCUUGAGGGUCCAGACAGGAGGAGCUCCAUCUAAAUGGACUGCUCAUUUCAGAAGAGAAAGUCAAGCCCUCUCCUUUGCUUCAGGGCCCUGCAAAGGUGGCUCCGGGCUCAUUUUCCCAGACUGAUCCCUAAAGCCUCCUGCAGAGACCCGUCGCCCAGUCUUCCCCCAACAAGCAUGACUGUUCCCUUCCUGCCCCCUCCUGAGUUUUAACUGCGGUCAUACUUUAUCUAAAA
ensembl:lncRNA